rnacentral:misc_RNA from 1 species
GUAGGUGAACCUGCGGAAGGAUCAUUAGUGAAUAUUAGAACAUGUAAUUUAUUACAGUUCGACCCUCCACUUUCUAACUCUGUGCAUUUUAUUAGCGGUGGUAAAAGUUCCAAGGAUUGAUGCGGUUUGCUCUCUUCUAAACAAUUACCACUGUGUCUUUUCAAUUUAUAACAUUAGUACAAGUAUGUAACGAAAUAUCGAAAUAAAAAAAAACUUUCAACAACGGAUCUCUUGGCUCUC